UACGAAGGGGGCUAGCGUUGUUCGGAAUUACUGGGCGUAAAGCGCAUGUAGGCGGAUCCAUAAGUCGGGCGUGAAAUCCCCAGGCUCAACCUGGGAACUGCGCUCGAAACUGUGGGUCUUGAGUGUCGGAGAGGAUGGCGGAAUUCCUGGUGUAGAGGUGAAAUUCGUAGAUAUCAGGAGGAACACCGGUGGCGAAGGCGGCCAUCUGGACGACAACUGACGCUGAGAUGCGAAAGCGUGGGGAGCAAACAGG
rnacentral:rRNA from 1 species